rnacentral:rRNA from 1 species
UGAGUGGCGGAACGGGUGAGUAACACGUGAGUAACCUGCCCUCUUCUUUGGGAUAACGCCCGGAAACCGGGGUGCUAAUACUGGAUAUUCACUGAUCUUCGCAUGGGGGGUUGGUGGAAAGGUUUUUUCUGGUGGGGGAUGGGCUCGCGGCCUAUCAGCUUGUUGGUGGGGUGAUGGCCUACCAAGGCUUUGACGGGUAGCCGGCCUGAGAGGGUGACCGGUCACAUUGGGACUGAGAUACGGCCCAG